AUUCUCAGUUCGGAUUGUAGGCUGAAACUCGCCUACAUGAAGCUGGAGUUACUAGUAAUCGCAGAUCAGAAUGCUGCGGUGAAUGCGUUCCCGGGUCUUGUACACACCGCCCGUCACACCACGGAAGUUGGGGGCGCCCGAAGCCACUUAGCUAACCCAUUUGGGAAGCGAGUGUCGAAGGUGAAAUCAAUAACUGGGGUGAAGUCGUAACAAGGUACC
rnacentral:rRNA from 1 species